AUUGAACGCUGGCGGCAUGCUUUACACAUGCAAGUCGAACGGUAACAGGCCUUCGGGUGCUGACGAGUGGCGAACGGGUGAGUAAUGCAUCGGAACGUACCCAGAGGUGGGGGAUAACGCAGCGAAAGCUGUGCUAAUACCGCAUGUGAUCUGAGGAUGAAAGCGGGGGACCGAGCAGCAAUGUUUGGCCUCGCGCCUUUGGAGCGGCCGAUGUCGGAUUAGCUAGUUGGUGGGGUAAAGGCCUACCAAGGCGACGAUCCGUAGCUGGUCUGAGAGGACGACCAGCCACACUGGGACUGAGACACGGCCCAGACUCCUACGGGAGGCAGUAGUGGGGAAUUUUGGACAAUGGGCGCAAGCCUGAUCCAGCAAUGCCGCGUGCGGGAAGAAGGCCUUCGGGUUGUAAACCGCUUUUGGCAGGAACGAAACGGUGUCCGCUAAUACCGGGCGCUAAUGACGGUACCUGCAGAAUAAGCACCGGCUAACUACGUG
rnacentral:rRNA from 1 species